rnacentral:rRNA from 1 species
CAAAGUCUCCGUUGGUGAACCAGCGGAGAGAUCAUUAU